rnacentral:lncRNA from 1 species
CCUUGCAUUUAGCAGGAGGUUUCUGGGAAGCCAGAUUACCUCCCUCCGCGGGGCGCGGGCGGCCCUGGGCCGGCAGCGCGGGGCCUCAGGCGGCGGGGGGAUGCGCGGAGGCGGCGGGCGGAGGUUUGCGCAUCGCAGCCUCCGCGCCGCUAACGCAGAGCCCCGCGCGGCUGCGGGCGACGGGAGCCGCGCUGGAGGCCGGGCAGGGAGGCGCGGCGCGGCAGCGGAGGCGGCGGCUGCUGCUGCGGAGCCGCGACCAUGCUCCCGUCUGGCCGCC